rfam:Streptomyces sp. SCSIO 03032, complete genome.
GGUCAGAGCCCCACCGGCUCCUGGACGAGGUGCGCCGUACCCAGCCAUGACAAGACGGCGCGGG